CCAUUAGAAAUGGUGGGUAAUACUGUAUAAUCCCCGAGGGGGAAAGAUUUAUCGCUAUUAGAUGAGCCUACGUUAGAUUAGCUAGUUGGUGAGGUAAUGGCUUACCAAGGCUAUGAUCUAUAGCUGGUCUGAGAGGACGAUCAGCCACACUGGAACUGAGAUACGGUCCAGACUCCUACGGGAGGCAGCAGUGGGGAAUAUUGGACAAUGGGCGAAAGCCUGAUCCAGCUAUGCCGCGUGAGUGAAGAAGGCCUUCGGGUUGUAAAACUCUUUCAAUAGGGAAGAUAAUGACGGUACCUAUAAAAGAAGUCCCGGCAAACUUUGUGCCAGCAGCCGCGG
rnacentral:rRNA from 1 species